CAACUUUCCUGGGAGGGGAGGGAAACCCUGAUCAAGAAGGGGGUUCACCCAGGCGAGGCUCCCAUGCUCGGCCGUGUUCCCCCUCGAAUUCCCAAAUGUGGGAAUCUCGACUGCAUAAUUUAUGGUAGUGGGGGACUGCGUUCGCGCUCUCCCCUG